UAGGUUCUGCACAGAGUCAGCCAAAUGCAGCAAAGUUGAUUGGACGGUGCUUCACAGUACAAAUGGACAAUGACCCAAAACAUACUGUGAGAGUAACCCAAGAGUUUUUUGAGGCAAAGAAGUGGAAUAUUCUACAAUGCCUGAGUCGAUCACCAGGUGUCAACCCGGUCAAGCAUGCAUUUCACUUGCUUAAGACAGAACUUAAGGCAGAAUGGCCCACAAACAAGCAACAGCUGAAGACAGCUGCAGUCAUAGCCUGGCAAAGUAUCACAAAGGAAGAAACCCAGCGUUUGGUGAUGUCCAUGGUGUCCAGACUUCAGGCAGUCAUUGCCUGCAAAGGAUUCCCGACAAAGUAUUGAAAAUGAACAUUUUAUUUAUGGCAACGUUUAUUUGUCCAGUCACUUUUGAGCCCCUGAAAUGAGGAGACUUUCUAGAAAAAUGGUUGCAGUUCCUAAACAUUUCAUAGGAUGUCCUUGUUCAAGCUCUGGAAUU